rnacentral:misc_RNA from 1 species
UUUGGGACAGUUGAAACUCAGUCAUAGCCAUUUUUAACGUCUUAAAAAUUUGGUGAUUUGACCACACUUGAAAGUGGUACUGUACUUAACAUGAAAUCGACAUCGCAGUUCUAGCCUCAAAAAAUUUUGUUCAACCAGAACUCUAAUGACAUUAACGUCGUGACUACGAGGAUUUCGUGAAAUCGUAUUCUUUUUGUUUUGCGCAUGGUGGUACCUUGUAAUAAAGCGAACUGUUCUGAUUUCAGCAAACACAUUGGAUGAAAAGGAAACAUACUUCGAACGUCAUAUUGGAGGGCCCGGCGAGGAGAGCCUGGUUUACCUUUCAAGGAGAAUCAUGAGCUACACCAAGAGGGAUGACUGGCUCAUGAGCGAUGCCACUACUCCUCACCAGAAACACUUGGUGCUGAGCAGCAAUAUUGUGGCUCUCGCCAGAUGUGGUCAAGUACUCCCAUUGUGCUUCGCCGUCAUGUCGUCCAAGACUGGCCCAGCUUACGAGGCAAUUAUCAGAUUUCUCCGUGCGUUGGGUCUGGACGCAAAGAGCAUCAUGACAGACUGGGACGACGCCGAAAGAAAGGGACGGCGUGAUGGGUCGCCAGAUAUGAUUCUGAAGAUGUGAGACUGCUGAGCAUGGCGACGAAGAAGGUCAUGUGACGAGGACGCCGAGGACAGAACUGAACGGGGAUGGUGCGUCUGUUCAAUUAAUUUUAGCUUCAGGAAGGCCAUUGAGAGCAGGUCAGCAGGCCUCCGACGACAAGUUAAACGCCGCUCUGGGCAAGGCGCUCUACGUCGAGGUUGUGUCGAACGUCAAGGCCGAGCUGAAGGACUUCAAGGCCCUCCCCCCCAAGGCGCAGAAGCUCGUGGACGGCUGCCUCAAGAGCGCCGCCCUGCACGCCGCAGACAAGGACAGCACGGCCCGCGCAUUCUUCAACGAGUUCGCUGGCUGCGUCAACGGACACUCCGACGUGCCAGCCAGCUUUAAGAGCAGCGUCAAAAAAUUGGGCCAGGGUCUUUAGAGCGGCAGUGCCGUGACCGUUCCCGCCCGUUUUUCCCAAAAAUAAAUUCCCAAAUAUUGACUUUU